UAGAUAUAUAUAUAUAUAAUAUAUAUAUAUAUAUAUAUAUAUAUAUAUACAAGUGCUGAAGUAUUUUGUAAUAAGUCAGUAGGAGAAGUUCGGUGAGUGCCUUUGUAAUGAGGAGUGUGACACCUAAUAUUUCGCGGCUUGCCUUUCGUUUGUGAUUGAGGAAAGAUGUCGAAAGAAAGUUUUGUCGCUUGGACUGGAGAACAGUAUUUUCAGAAGGUAUUAGAUUUUAGGGAGUAACACAUGUUGUGCUGAUAUAUGAGAUGGAAGGUAGAUAAGCAAGAGCAAGGAGUUAAAUGAGUAGGUUCGAAGUUUUCCUCUACAUGUAUUUUUCAUUCUCAAUGUUUUGCCCAUCAUUGAACUCAUGAAAAUGUGGCAAUGUAUUAUACGAUCUGAAAGUGACAAGCAAGAGAGAUAACUUCAAUAAGAUCCGUGAUCGAAUUAUAGAAAGUGUAUACAGGAGUGAAUCAAAGUUAUUUCGAUCCUUAUUGCAGAGUCUGUAUUGAGUGUGCAGAACACUUCCCUGGCGUAUUUUCCUUGAAACAUAUUAUGAGAUAUUGAGAGAGAAGGUAGAAAGAGCCAGUGCCUCAAAGAAAAAAGGCAAAAGAGUUCAAGAGAGAGGAGUAAAAUUAAACUGCAAAACCCAUAGAUAAAGAUCAACCGCGCAAAAAAUUAUUCACCUGAAGAGGUUGGACAGAAUGAUGGACAUAUCUUGUUAAACAGAAGUUUUUAUUUAGUACGAUGUUGGUUCACCUUCAGCAUCAAUACGUCAAUCAAUCUUAAUACGUCGAGGAAUUGGUUCGUACAGGUUCUGUAAAGAGAAUUUUGAGCCACUCUUCAAGUAAAUCUUGCUUUAGCUCUUUCAACUAUGAAGGCAGAAAAAAGUGGCUCCUCACUUGCUAUUCCAAAAUGCACCAUAAAUGUUCAAUUAUACAUUUAUACUUUCGGUGAGAGAGAUGGGGUGGCAGUCCCAUUGGUCUACUUUACUUUUGUGCUCUUUUUAUUACUUUUGAUUAACAUUAGCUGUGUGAAUCAUUGAGUUAUCAUCCUGGAAAAUUGCAUUACCAUGAAGGAGCAAUUUUCGUACUAUAGGAUGGGUAUCAUUCGCAAAAUUACUCAGAUACUCCUUGGCAAGAGAAACCUGUGAUAUGGUUGUCCAAACCAUCACAGAUCCACCUCCAUGCUUCACGGUAGAGGCCAAACAGUUAGGGUUUGGUGA